GCCUUUGUGGUGUAACGGUAGCACACUCGACGCGUAUUCGAGAGAUGUAAGUUCGAGUCCCAGCGAGGGCA
rnacentral:tRNA from 1 species